GGAAAGACCUGAAAACCAGUCUCUUCUGCUUCCCUUGGACACCCCAGUGUUCAGCCCUUGGUUGCUGAUGGGGUCAGUGCCAGAGGCCUCCAGAUGGUCAGCCUCCCACUACCCAGGCUGCUGCCGUGAUGGCAAAGGAGUUCCUGGUGUCCUGGUGGCCAGAUCUUCUAGUGCCUUCUUGGCAUAGCCAUGAGCCUCCACAUUGAUGGAUAGACAUGGAGUGCAUGGUAUCAACUGUUCUGACACCUCUGGGAGAGGAAACUUGAAGAAGAAUCCCUCCCUUGUGCUCACUCCUCUCUGAGAAAAGGCAGGUGUCCUACAGGCUAGUGGCUCUAUUUUAAAUCUGCA
rnacentral:lncRNA from 1 species